GGGUCACUAGCUCAGUCGGCAGAGCACCGGACUUUUAAUCCGGUUGUCCCGGGUUCGAACCCCGGGUGGCUCA
rnacentral:tRNA from 1 species